rnacentral:rRNA from 1 species
GAUGAACGCUGGCGGCGUGCUUAACACAUGCAAGUCGAACGGGAAACAUUUUAUUGAAGCUUCGGCAGAUUUAGUUUGUUUCUAGUGGCGGACGGGUGAGUAACGCGUGGGUAACCUGCCUCACACUGGGGGAUAACAGUCAGAAAUGACUGCUAAUACCGCAUAAGCGCACGGAACCGCAUGGUUUUGUGUGAAAAACUCCGGUGGUGUGAGAUGGACUCGCGUUGGAUUAGCCAGUUGCAGGUACGCUACCAAGCGACGAUCCAUAGCCGGCCUGAGAGGGUGAACGACCACGAUUGGGACUGAGACACGGCCCAGACUCCUACGGGAGCAGCAGUGGGGAAUAUUGCACAAUGGGGGAAACCCUGAUGCAGCGACGCCGC